rnacentral:lncRNA from 1 species
AAGCAGCAUAGUCAUGGCCCUACCCUCGCCGUUUCGCAACACUGGGCGCGGCCAAACAACAUACCUGAUGAGUGCGCCUUCCGGUUUCUAUAUGAGAGGUAUGACCUUUCGGACUUUAUGCGUUUGCCCCUGACAGGACGCAGGAAGGCGGAGUAAAGCACAGUGACCACUGCGUCCGGCCUUGGCGGUCAGGGAAAUCUGG